GAUGAACGCUGGCGGCGUGCCUAAUACAUGCAAGUCGAGCGAACAGAUGAGGAGCUUGCUCCUCUGACGUUAGCGGCGGACGGGUGAGUAACACGUGGAUAACCUACCUAUAAGACUGGGAUAACUUCGGGAAACCGGAGCUAAUACCGGAUAAUAUAUUGAACCGCAUGGUUCAAUAGUGAAAGACGGUUUUGCUGUCACUUAUAGAUGGAUCCGCGCCGCAUUAGCUAGUUGGUAAGGUAACGGCUUACCUAGGCAACGAUGCGUAGCCGACCUGAGAGGGGGAUCGGCCACACUGGGAAUGAGACACGGGCCAAACACCUAAGGGAGGGAGCAGGAGGGAAACUUCCGCAAGGGGCGAAAGCCUUGCGGGGCAACGCCGCGGGAGGUAAGAAGGUCUUCGGAUCGGAAAACCCUUUUAUUAGGGAAGAAACAAUUGGUAAGUAACUAUGCACGGCUUGACGGGACCUAAUCAGAAAGGCACGGGUAACUACGGG
rnacentral:rRNA from 1 species